rnacentral:rRNA from 1 species
UACGAAGGGGGCUAGCGUUGCUCGGAAUUACUGGGCGUAAAGGGUGCGUAGGCGGUUUGCUAAGACGGAUGUGAAAUCCCUGGGCUCAACCUAGGAACAGCAUACGUGACUGGCAGGCUAGAGUAUCGAAGAGGGGGGUAGAAUUCCACGUGUAGCAGUGAAAUGCGUAGAGAUGUGGAGGAAUACCGAUGGCGAAGGCAGCCCCCUGGUCAGAUACUGACGCUGAGGCACGAAAGCGUGGGGAGCAAACAGG